rnacentral:tRNA from 2 species
GGAGAGGUGGCUGAGCGGCUUAAAGCAGCAGGUUGCUAACCUGCGCCCCCGUAAGGGGGCUCGUGGGUCCGAAUCCCACCCUCUCCG